rnacentral:lncRNA from 1 species
CCUAAAGCUGCAUUGGCCUCCUCAGGAUGCUAUUGAUGCUCACGAUCAUUCCUAAAGCUGCACUGGCCUAAAGCUGCAUAGUCGCUCCUAUUUUCAGUCUAUUUGAUUAUUCAAAAACAUUGGAGAUACAUCACCAAAGUAAAUUCAUUAGACAACGACCUUCUUAAAGGUGCGCAAGAACAUUAGCUAUCAUGCAUUCACGCGCUUUGCACAAGGCCUCCAAUGGCUCUCUCUUUGGCAUUGUGAGUCCCGUCCCCUCAGACAAGUCCACCAGUUCUUCACCAACUCGUUCCCAUUCGAAGCACUGAAUAAGCGCCGCUAGGGCCAAGCUCACCACUCUAUUGGCAAGGCCAGCACCGGGACAACUUCUCCUCCCCAUCCCAAACGGCAAUAGUCGGUAGGCAUGAUCACCUUCCAAUCCCUCGUACCUCUCCGGUUUAAAAUUUGUGGGAUCGUCCCACACUUUUGGGUCUCUUUGAAUUGCCCACGCAUUAACCAGGAUCAUGGUGCCUCGGGGCACGUCGAACCCGGCAAUUGUGCAAUCCUCAGCAGACUCAUGAGGCACUAGGAGUGGCCCCGGUGGAAACAAUCGAAGCGCCUCAUUGAUGAUAUUAUGAAGGCAAGGCAGCUUGUGGGUGUCGGCUUCAUCAACUAGACGGUCUCGGCCAACAAUGUCAUCUAGUUCUACUUGAGCUUUUUUCAUGACAUCCAGGUGGUUGAGCAAGAGGGACAUGGCCCAUUCUAUUGUCACCGCAGAUGUGUCUGUACCCGCACCUAUUAUUGACUGCCGAAAAUUGUGUUUAAGAAAUUAAGGAUAUACUCAGUUCUUUCAAAAAUAGAUGAAACUAGCUUUCAAAAUCGAAGAACAAUCAUGUUAAGACAUGAAGAGGCAAAUGUAAAAGGAAUAGAUUCAGUUUAAGUAAAGUGCAAACUCUAUCUGUUUCAUGCAUCAUCUAGACAUAGAAGUGUUUCAAAUUCCAAUUUCUAUUAAUUCGAGCUAAUGUCAACCUCUGCCAGAGGAUGGCGUGGAAAAGAUCUUGCCUCCUUGCCACCAUUUUAAAACGAAAUUUGCCUCCGAACGGCAUGACUUUUCACCAUGUCAAUUUUCCACCGCAGCUUGUCGAUGAUGGCAAGUUAUUUUAGGCAACAAACUUUUCUAUGGUUCGAACAGCUUGAAUCCAUCGAAGUUGCAAAAACAUGCGUAAGUUCAAGGAAAAGAAAAUGAGGAUCCCAGUUUAGCCAUUUACUGCACACAUGACUAAAGAUCCAUGGACUUGACUAAUUGACAUUUUUACGAGCUCUUUCUUUCUGACCUAUCUCCUCUUUCAUCUUUUCGAUGAACAACAAUCUAGAUAGCAGCUACCAUUCAAGAAAGAAAAAAUCAGGUAUGAUCCCGAUUCACAUGAAUCAUUAGAUGUGAACGCAACCCACAUCCACAGUUGGAUGCGAUGAACCCCAUAUGAGGCCCAUGUGAUUUAGCAUAAGCAUUGGGUUUGCAUCGAUUCGAAUCAUAUAUUAAAAGGGUAAGAAACAAGACCCUAUUACUCAAAAUAGAAAAGAAAAAUAAGACCUUUCAGAGCAUAUACAUACAGAAAGGACACAAUGACUAAUACAUGAAACUAGUUUCGAACUCUAUCAAGCAAAGUCAAGUAUAUUUAAAUUAACAUCAAUCGUCAGAUUUGUGGUAUCCAAACAAAACAAGUCAUUGCUAAUGAUCCUAAUUCAUAUAGAUACGUGUAUACUGUGAUUCUAAUCCGUCAUCCAGUGCAAGGAUAAAGAAAAAUCUUUGCUUGGGAAUGAGUCAAAGUUUUGUUCACUUCAUGGUAUACUCAUGAAAAACUAAAAUUUGCUUGGCUCUCAUUUUUAAUGAUGAUUACAUGACAGUUUUUANNNNNNNNNNNNNNNNNNNNNNNNNNNNNNNNNNNNNNNNNNNNNNNNNNNNNNNNNNNNNNNNNNNNNNNNNNNNNNNNNNNNNNNNNNNNNNNNNNNNUUUUUCAAAAAUUUGUCACUCACAAUAAACUGUUAUUCUCACAGAUUCAAUGACUGUUAUGCUAGCAAAAUCUUUUUUAUAUAAUCAACAUGUCAUUUUUUAAUUAUGUUAAAUUUUUGUAAUCCUAUAUAUUAAGUAAAUUUAUUUAUUAAAUGAAGGGUAUGCGUUAGAUUCAACCGAAUCCAAUAAUUAAGAAACAUGGCACUCUGUAUGCAUAAAUCAAGUGAAUAGAACAUGUACAUUGAUCUGGCCUUUGAUGAUGUCGUCCGAGUAGCCCUCCGAGAGCAUCGUCUCGAUCAUUGUCUUGCUCUCCUCCUCUCGGCUGCCGUCGGCAUCGCUUCUCUUCCUUCUCGACCUGUGCUCAUCUAUCAUCCCCUGCAAGAUCACAUCGGACCUGUUGGCCACGUCCACCAUCCUCCGCUCUCUACCCUUGAAGUCCACCACCUUCCUCAGCACCGGCAAGAAAUCGCCCGGGUCCGUUCCGCUCAGCUCGAAUUCCUCCUUUAUCAACUCCCUGUACUCCCUCGCCACCUCGGCGUCGCCAGCGUCGACGGCGACCCCAGAGUAGCGCUUCCCAGAGAUCAUCCUCAUGAUGAUGUUGAAGGACAGCUCCUGCAGCCUCGAACUCAUCUCCACCCUCGCAAAACCACCGCCCUGGGAGGAGGAGGCCGCCUCGUAGAGGCUCCUCGUGAGGUGCCUGACCUCCUCCUGCCGGAUGGCGAGGGAGCCGGUGAGGCGGUGCGGCGAAAGGAUCUCCACGGCCGUGAGGCGGCGGAGGUUGCGCCAGUGGGGGCCGUAGGGGGCGCUGCCGAUGGUGGUGUUGCCGUAUCCCAUGAUCUCGCCCGAGAGCGUGCGGGGGCGGUUGGCGAGGGCGAUGUCGUUCCUGGUGAAGCACUCCUCAGCCGCGGACGGGGAGGAUAUGACGACCGCGGGCCGAGAGCCCAAGGAGAGGGAGAGGACAGGGCCAUAGCGGUCGGAGAGGGACUGAAGGGUGCGGUGGACAGGCUCUUUUAUGAGGUGGAGGUGGCCGAUGAUGGGGAGUGAAGGCGGGGCCGGCGGGAGAUUUCUCUUGCUGCUUCUCUGCAAUUUGAAAAGGUAGAGAAGGAAGAGGAGGGAGGUCGCCGAGAGGAUGUACACCCACGUGUCUUCCAUGGACAACAUCUGUUGGAGGCCGCCUUGUGGAGAGAGAGAGAGAGAGAGAGAGAGAUGGAAUGGGUACAGAGACGCAAGGUGUUGCGGGUCUUGAUUUUGGUAUAGGCACCCACCAGCGUGCGCAUAAAAUCAGGGAAAAAAGGAAAAGAUUCUGGUAUGGGUGGAGUUGUUUUCUGGAAGAGCAAAAGAGAUGAGCACAGAAAACUGAUAUCUCCACAGGUUCAUCUUUGUGGCUAGCAAUCAAUUGGGUGCAUUCGUUGAGUUCAAGUGGGGCAUAAAUUGGCCGUGAAACCUUUGACGUUUUCUGCUUUUGUGUUUGGGUCAUAGUCUUAUCACGGGAGCGAAAGGUAUGGCUCCCGCUACCAUCAAAACCCGUGGCUGAUAUUGGAGCUGAGCGUUGAUUGUUUCUCGGGCGCUGUCGUUCAAUAAUUCGCUACCUAAUUCCAAGAAAGAAGUGCCAAGGCUUAUAUUAUACUGUUUAAAUUAUGCCAUUAAAAAAAAUUCAGACUAAGUUUUCCAAUGACAUGUCAUCCACUUUUCUGGAGGUCUGUAGAAUAUUUUGUCAAUUAUAUGAGUUUGGGCCAAAUUUGUAAGUGAAGAAGAAGAUUAUUAAAUUAAUGUUUCGGAUUUGAAUUCGAAUAAUAAUUUGUUAAAUCGAAUUUGUUGAUAAAUUUUUUUUUUUAAAGAUUGGAUGUAACAGUUUUCUUUCUUGGACUUUUUCUAAAGACGUGCAAAGCAAGACAAAAGAAGAAGGGUUUUUUUUUUUUUUUUUGUGACCCAGGGAACCCCCGUACGCCGCUUCGCGACUGGAGUAAACCCUGGAGGGACCCGGCCCACCACCGCUGACCUCGGCCCCUGGGUAAAUCGCGCGUUUGCAUUGAAGCAACGCGGACGCAGAGUCUCGAACUCUUCCCCCUGGCGUGUGGGGUACCAAGCCUUAACCACUACGGCCACCGCGGGCGGUGGUGACAAAAGAAGAAGGGUUAAUACCCUGAAAAAUCCCAAACUGGUACACUUGUGACAAAUUUAUCCAAAACUAUUUUUUUGACCACAAAAAAUCCUAAACUAGUAUACGUUUGACAAAUUUACUCCAAACUGGUACACUUGUGACAAAUUUACCUUUUGUUAGUUUUUAUUAAAUUUUAUUCUCAAAUUAUUAAGUUAAAUGACACGUGAUAGUUAACCAGUAUACCAAUUUAGGACUUUAUGCUCCGUUUGUCACAGUUUACAAUUUUUGUGAUUUUUUUGUGGUAUUAAUCCAAUUUAGCAAAGGGUAUAUUUGUCACAAAUUUACCAUUUUUGGGUUUUUUGCAGUCAAAUAAAUUAAUUUGAGGUAAAUUUGUUAUAAAUGUACCAGUUUAAGGUUUUUUAUAGUCAGUCGGUGUAAAUUUGUCACAAGUAUACCAGUUUGGGGUUCUUCAUGGUCAAAAAAAUAGUUUUGGGUAAAUUUGUCACAAAUGUACCAGUUUGGGGUUUUUCAAGGUAUUAACCCUAAGAAGAAAUAAGAUAUAAAAGAAAAAAAAAAGAAAAGGAAGUUUUUUUCUUCUCCUCCUUUGCAGCUACGAUUUCCCUUGCAAAAGGAAAUAGACCGUGGGGCCUAGAGUCAAAGUUGUUGACUCUGGGCACACCUAUAAUAAUUAAUUAGGAAUUCCCCCUUUGGCGUGAAGCUGCUGCAGCCUUACAAGAGUCACCAAAGUCCUUGCACGUAGAAGAAAGGAAGCAAAUCUCUCUACACAUGGAGCCAAAAAAAGAGCUGGUGGGCCCAGGUCAAAUAUUUGACCUUUGGGCACACGAAUUUCCUUUAUUCUUUUUUUUUUGGUACCCAGGGAACCUUUGCACGCCACUUCGCAGUGGAGAGUAAACCCUGGGGCGCCGAGGGCCCCCACCGCUGACCCCCAAGCGCGGAUAAGUCACGCGUUAUGCAAUGAAGCAUUGCGUCCACGAAGAUUCGAUCUCUCCCCCUCUGCGUUGGGGUAACAGGCUCUCAACCAGCGCGGCCACCACGGGCGUGCAUAAAGUGACUUAAAAACCCUACGAAAGAGAAGAAGCCACGGGCGUCAAGUUGUAGAGAGCCGCAGGCGUUUUUGUUUCAAACUUGAAAGCAUGAUAAUUUUAUGCUGUAAGUUGUUUAUUUAUAAAUAAUUUAAAUUUUUUGUUAAAUUUAGGUGUGGGAAACACUCGAGCAUAUAAAUAAUUAACAAAAUAGUUAUCACACGUAUAUUUCUAUACUUUAUAUAGAGAGAUAAAGAAGAAUAAGUCUCAAUUAUUUAAUUAUCCAUUCCUCACACUUAUUAUUUAAUAUAUAUAUAUAUAUAUAUAUAUAUAUAUAUAUAUAUAUAUAUAUAGACACACAUUCUAGUUUACUAUAUAUAAAUUAUAAUUAUUCUAAGAUAUCUUUCUAACAACAACGGGCAUAAAUAUUAAAUAGAAGUACCGAUUUUAGGACAACUUUUUUAAUAACUUACCCUCUUGUCUUUGUGCCUAUAGUGGGCCUGGUAUUUCCAUCAAUUGUGAUGGCUUUUUUGUCCCUCCAUGUUCAACAAAGCAAGACUUCUUUGAGAUUUUUUUUUUUUUUUGAAUGCUAAGACUUCUUUGAGAGUUAAAAGGGAAGAGAAUGGAAAGAUAAAAAGAUUCCUCAUGUUCUGGAAUAAUUUACAAUUGGACUGCUACCUUGUUGACUCUCUAUCUCACAAUCCUUAAAUUUGUUUAUUUUCUAAUCACCUAUUUGUCAAAUUUACUUUAGGGUCCAAUCAGCACCAACUAGUACAGAACGUAACAUUUUGUCUCACGGGCGACAUUUUCCUCCAUCUCUUGCUCCUUUUCUAUGGAAGUAAAUAUAGAUCGAGUAGUGAUUAGUACUAGUACAUAGGGCAGUAAAGAGUUGGUGGACAAAUCAUUCGAAAAACAAGAUAAAACAGCUAGAGGGACACUCCGUCACCAGAAUUUGCAUCAGAGGAGAGCAUGUUUGAAGAAAACUCAAUCAAUCGUUACCUGUAAUUCCCUUCAAUAGAGUACUAAGAUGCAACAGUUGAACACCAGUGCUAGCAUCCGACUUAAUGAUGAGCUUUCGAUAAAUAAUUCAAUCCCUUAGCUCAUGGUAGAGCGUUGGGAAGUGCCUAGAAUGCCAAAACACCAUCGUCGUCCCUAUCAUUUGCUAAACUCGAAGACCCAUCUGUGGCGAGAGUCUCCGAUCAUUCCCUCCACACUUGCAUGUCCCAGAUCGUCUUUGCCGGAUCCGGCAGUAUUAUAGCUUGAACCUCCCAAAGAGGGGGUUCGACCCAUUGAUUUCGACAGAGGAGGAGCUAGCCUGCUUCAUGUUGAGGGAUGCGAGGGGCGAGCCGUCCCGCUAUAGAAGCUGCAACGUCGGUGGAAAUGGGAGUGCUUUUUGCAGUCCCAUCGUGAGACGCUUUGUUGUUCAUGUCACACGCCAUAGGGCCCAGAUGGCAAACAAUUUUACGCUCUUUCAGGGGCCUUGACUGAUAAAUUACAAGCUUACGGAUAUUAAUAACAUGUAAACUAAACUAAAAUUCAAAUAUGGUUUUAAAAGGAUUUUGAGCUCGGUCUAUGGGCCAACCAUUGGACACCCAAAUUUUUAAACCAACGGACACGAGUGACACGAUACUCAUUACAUGACUUCAAGUAAUACAGAUCAAAUUCGUUCGAGUUAUCAUGUUAAAGGAUCUCCAUACUAUAAUCUUUCAAGAAAUUAACCUUAGUCCAUUAAUUAUUUAGGGAUGCUAAAAUUGUACACUUCUUAAGUUUUUCAUGUCGUAUUUAAACCCAUCAUUUUGCAAUGUUUUGGACCUCUUUUGUCUACCUGUGAAUUCCAUCAAACUCUCAUUUUGGAACGGAUUUCAACAAGGCAUGAUAACUCAGUAUGCCAAGCCAACCAUAUCUGUUACCGGUGCAACAACAAAUGCCCAAAAUAGAGAGAGGGAUGAACAAUGUUGCCAGUAUCUAUAUAAACCAUCAUUUUUCUCCUAAGAGAAAGGCCUAAAGCUGCAUUGGCCUCCUCAGGAUGCUAUUGAUGCUCACGAUCAUUCCUAAAGUUGCACUGGCCUAAAGCUGUAUAGUCGCUCCUAUUUUCAGUCUAUUUGAUUAUUCAAAAACAUUGGAGAUACAUCACCAAAGUAAAUUCAUUAGACAACGACCUUCUUAAAGGUGCGCAAGAACAUUAGCUAUCAUGCAUUUACGCGCUUUGCACAAGGCCUCCAAAGGCUCUCUCUUGGGCAUUGUGAGUCCCGUCCCCUCAGACAAGUCCACCAAUUCUUCGCCAACUCGUUCCCAUUCGAAGCACUGAAUAAGCGC